AUUGAACGCUAGCGGGAUGCUUUACACAUGCAAGUCGAACGAGUGGCGGACGGGUGAGUAAUAUAUCUGAACGUGCCCAGUAGCGGGGGAUAACUACUCGAAACUGUGGCUACUACCGCAUACUAUUGGAUCGGCCGAUAUCGGAUUAGCUAGUUGUUGGUGUAAAGGCUCACCAAGGCAACGAUCCGUCGCUGGUUUGAGAGGAUGACCAGUAAAACUGGGACUGAGACACGGCCGAGACUACUGCGGGAGGCAGCAGUGGGGAAUUUUGGACAAUGGGGGAAACCCUGAUCCAGCCAUGCCGCGUGUAUGAGAAGGCCUUAGGGUUGUAAAGUACUUUUGGCAGAGAGGCGGUAUCUGCAGAAGAAGCACCGGCUAACUACGUGCCAGCCGCCGCGGUAAUAC
rnacentral:rRNA from 1 species